UCAAGCAAUAAGGGCACAGGGCGGAUGCCUUGGCACUAAGAGCCGAUGAAAGACGUGAUAAGCUGCGAUAAGCUUCGGGGAGGAGCAAAUAUCCAUUGAUCCGGAGAUGUCUGAAUGGGGAAACCCACAUGAGCAAACCUCAUGUAUCCAUACGCCAAUCCAUAACGUAUGGAAGGGAACCCGGGGAACUGAAACAUCUAAGUACCCGGAGGAAAAGAAAGAAAACUCGAUUCCGUAAGUAGCGGCGAGCGAACGCGGAGGAGCCUAAACCGGAAUGCGUGCAUUCCGGGGUUACGGACUGCAUUUAAGAUUCAGUGAUGUUAACAGAACGGUUUUGGGAAAGCCGGCCGGAGAGGGUGAAAGCCCCGUACGUGAAAGCAGAGCUGACUGAGCAGGAUCCAGAGUACCACGAGACACGUGGAACCUUGUGGGAAAUCAGGGGGACCACCCCCUAAGGCUAAAUACUACUUAGUGACCGAUAGCGCAUAGUACUGUGAAGGAAAGGUGAAAAGGACCCCGGGAGGGGAGUGAAAGAGAACCUGAAACCCUGUGUCUACAAGCUGUGGAAGUGCUUUAUAUGCACGACCGCGUACUUUUUGUAGAACGGUCCGGCGAGUUACGCUUACUGGCAAGGUUAAGCACUUCAGGUGCGGAGCCGUAGGGAAACCAAGUCUUAAGAGGGCCUUAAGUCAGUAGGAGUAGACCCGAAACCGGGUGAUCUAUCCAUGUCCAGGUUGAAGCUGCCGUAAGAGGUAGUGGAGGACCGAACCCACAUCCGUUGAAAAGGGUGGGGAUGAGGUGUGGAUAGGGGAGAAAUUCCAAUCGAACCCGGAGAUAGCUGGUUCUCCUCGAAAUAGCUUUAGGGCUAGCCUCGAUACAGAUUUGCGGAGGUAGAGCACUGAAUUUCCUAGGGGGCGUCAAAGCCUACCGAAGAAUAUCAAACUCCGAAUGCCGCGUAAUCGAUUAUCGGGAGUCAGACUGCACGAGAUAAGUUGGGCGGUCAAAAGGGAAAGAGCCCAGACCUUCAGUUAAGGUCCCCAAGUGCGCGUUAAGUGGAAAAGGAUGUGGGAUUUCGAAGACAACCAGGAUGUUGGCUCAGAAGCAGCCAUCCAUUCAAAGAGUGCGUAAUAGCUCACUGGUCGAGAGGUCCUGCGCCGAAAAUGUCCGGGGCUGAAACGCGCCACCGAAACUAAGGAACCGAAAGGUUGGUAGAGGAGCAUUGCAUGCGGGAAGAAGCAGUACCGUAAGGAGCUGUGGACUGCAUGGAAGAGAGAAUGCCGGAAUGAGUAGCGAGAAUAAGGUGAGAAUCCUUAUGGCCGAAUAUCCAAGGUUUCCAGAGUAAAGCUGAUCUGCUCUGGGUAAGUCGGGGCCUAAGGCGAGGACGAGAGUCGUAGCCGAUGGACAACAGGUGGAGAUUCCUGUACUGCGGUAUGACAGAACUGUGGGGACACGUAAGGAAAGCGGAAGCCGGGAAUGGAAAGCCCGGUGCAAGCGGGGUACCAGUCACUUUGGCAAAUCCGGGUGGCAAUGGGAAGCCGUGAUGCGGAGCGAAAUAAAGUAGCGAAGUCCGUGAGCCAUGCGUCAAGAAAAGCCGCUAUUGUUUAUACCGUACCCGUACCGUAAACCGACACAGGUGGAUGAGGAGAGAAUCCUAAGGCCGGCGGAAGAAGCAUUGUCAAGGAACUCGGCAAAAUGGCCCCGUAACUUAGGGAUAAGGGGUGCCUGGGAAACCAGGCCGCAGAGAAUAGGCUCAAGCAACUGUUUAGCAAAAACACAGGUCUAUGCGAAACCGAAAGGUGAGGUAUAUGGGCUGACGCCUGCCCGGUGCUGGAAGGUUAAGAGGAGAGGUUAGCGCAAGCGAAGCUUUGAAUUUAAGCCCCAGUAAACGGCGGCCGUAACUAUAACGGUCCUAAGGUAGCGAAAUUCCUUGUCGGGUAAGUUCCGACCCGCACGAAAGGCGUAAUGAUUUGAGCGCUGUCUCGACAAUGCAUCCGGUGAAAUUGAAGUACCAGUGAAGAUGCUGGUUACCUGCGCCAGGACGGAAAGACCCCAUGGAGCUUUACUCCAGUCUGGUACUGGGACUCGGUAUUGCAUGUACAGGAUAGGUGGGAGGCUAGGAGAUGGUAACGCCAGUUGCCAUGGAGCCGCUGUUGGGAUACCACCCUUGCAGUAUUGGGUUUCUAACCAGCCGCCGUGACCCGGCGGUGGGACAAUGCCAGACGGGGAGUUUGACUGGGGCGGUCGCCUCCGAAAGGGUAUCGGAGGCGCCCAAAGGUUCCCUCAGAAUGGACGGAAACCAUUCGAAGAGUGCAAAGGCAGAAGGGAGCUUGACUGCGACACCGACGGGUGGAGCAGGUACGAAAGUAGGGCUUAGUGAUCCGGUGGUAUUAAGUGGGAAUGCCAUCGCUCAACGGAUAAAAGCUACCCUGGGGAUAACAGGCUUAUCACUCCCAAGAGUUCACAUCGACGGAGUGGUUUGGCACCUCGAUGUCGGCUCAUCGCAUCCUGGGGCUGUAGCAGGUCCC
rnacentral:rRNA from 1 species